UACGUAGGGUGCAAGCGUUGUCCGGAAUUAUUGGGCGUAAAGAGCUCGUAGGCGGUCUGUCGCGUCGGCUGUGAAAACCUGGGGCUCAACUCCGGGCCUGCAGCCGAUACGGGCAGACUAGAAUUCGGUAGGGGGAGACUGGAAUUCCUGGUGUAGCGGUGAAAUGCGCGAUAUCGGGAGGAACACCGGUGGCGAAGGCGGUUCUCUGGGCCUUCCUGACGCUG
rnacentral:rRNA from 1 species